rnacentral:rRNA from 1 species
AUUGAACGCUGGCGGCAGGCCUAACACAUGCAAGUCGAACGCGUGGCGGACGGGUGUGUAAUGUCUGGGAAACUGCCUGAUGGCGGGGGAUAACUUCUGGAAACGGUAGCUAAUACCGCAUACCCUCAGAUGUGCCCAGAUGGGAAUAGCUAGUUGGUGGGGUAACGGCUCACCAAGGCGACGCUCCCUAGCUGGUCUGAGAGGAUGACCAGCCACACUGGAACUGAGACACGGUCCAGACUCCGACGGGAGGCAGCAGUGGGGAAUAUUGCACAAUGGGCGCAAGCCUGAUGCAGCCAUGCCGCGUGUAUGAAGAAGGCCUUAGGGUUGUAAAGUACUUUCAGCGGGGAGGCGUUACCCGCAGAAGAAGCACCGGCUAACUCCGUGCCAGCCGCCGCGGUAAUAC